rnacentral:lncRNA from 1 species
CUCUUUUAUAAGCUUCUCCUUGGUUCUGGCGUCCAUAUAAAUAAAAGAGACAAAUGUGUAUGAUUUACAACUCUAGAUUAACCAACCCAACUGAUUCAACAUGUUUAGUCCUUUAAUCCUUGUUCUUAGUACUACCUCCAUGAUCCCACUCUCCUAAUCAUAUGAGCUAAAAUGUUACACAUUCAAUCAUUGAGAGAUAUAAAGAAAAAGACAUAUACAUAAAUAGAUUAUCUUUCCAUAAGGUUGAGCGAUCUGAUCUGACAGAUGUUAAAAGUGCUACACUCAUGAACUUAUCAUCCAUCAACUUGUCUUGCUCACUAUGCUUAAGGUUAGAGAAGAACAAAUACACUUUUGGUUCUGUUGGUGUUUUCCACCAACAGGGCCCAUGCACUUGAUCUCUGCCUUGUCUCUAUGAGCAGGUACACUACGAGCACAAACACACUGAGCAAGAUACUGCUAACACCGCACUUCGAACUGCUGGGCAAACGAAGAACAUGGGUGACACCGUAUUAAAAGGUGCAGACGUCAAGGUCUGCACCUGAAUCAAAUGAUGCACCUGAAGAAUGAACACGAUGAGAAGUCUUGACAAGAAGACUUAAAACAUUGAACCCUCGCCGAAAGGUAAGAUUGGUACUUAUCCAUAUUUAUCCUUUCUGCAUUCCCUUUAAUUAUUUACUUUCCUUAAAUAGAUUAUUAGUUAAUCAUGCUAUGUUGAAAAGAAAAUAAAAAUGUUAAAAAAUACUAAGCCCCAUGUGAGUAUACGAGUGACAUAAAACCCAUAAAUACCUUCACUGUGGUGGCAUAAAAAUAAAAUAAAUAUUUCUUUUCUACUUUAUAAAAUAAAAAUAUAAAAACAGGGAGUAAUAUUUAUUAAGGAAGCUCAACGUGAUGAAGGCUAGAUAUUUAUGCUAACACUUAAUUAGUUCCACAAUCUUUGUUGUCUAUUUGAGCUCCACAGAAUUUAAGAAUCAAGAAGACUAGCAGACGGAGGACAUUCUAAUCGCUGUCAGAAUGCUGCUGACUUCCAAAUACACCUCUGCCACCUGCUAGCUACAUCAAGAGAAAUUACGUCAAAAUUCAGCUUGGGGGAGAGCACCCCCAUUUAUCUCGCUAAGUAUUUCUACCUAUCUUUAUACUUAUAUUAUAUUAGAAUAUUAAAAUACAUAAACUAUGAAAAACCAAAUAAAGAUUUUGUGCUUAUAUAUAUAUCUUUUGCUUAGUGUGUUUAAUAAAUAAAUAAAGUGGCUAUGCUAAUCUGAAUCUUAAUAAUAAAACUCUAGCAUGGAUAUGAUAAAUAGUUGCUCUGCCUAAUUUGCAAAUUUGAAGUUCUCUCUCAAGUUUAGACAUAACUGUUAUAAUUUAAAGCUUGCUCUAGAUCUAAACUUGUGGGAUGAAAACUUGAUCUGAAAUCUAAGUUGUUAACGGAUAAGAUAUGGGAAGGUUGAGCUGCUGUUUAUCUGUUCCUAGAGAUGCUAGAAUUCUGGAGAAUUUUAUCUUUGAAAAUCUUUAAAAAUAUUGCAUGAUGAGUUCCUGUAUGACGAGAGUUUAAAUUCCUACCACAGCCAUAUAUACAUGCUUGCUAGACUUUGAGCCACACAUUUAUUAUUUACUGCUUAUGAGCAUUGAGUGUGGUCAAGCUGUGUAGACCCUUAGGAGCUUGUCAUGUAGUUAAAUCAAGAUUCACUUGCACGUUCACUCAUAUAUAUGCUACUUCUACUCCGGAAGUACCAUCCACAUAUAUCCAUCCAUUUCCAUCUCCAGAAUCACCUAAAAAUAUUCUACUCCUAAUUCGGGAGAGACUAGCCAAAAACAUCUGUGUUUUUCCCUUGUGAAAUAAAUGCUCAAGUUAUCUUGCUACUACCACUUGCUAUAUUAUCAUAAGAGAUGAGUGCUCUUAAAAAAAAGAAGAAAAAAAAGAAAAGAAAAAAUAUAUAUAUAUAAACGAGGAAAUAAAAAGGGGCAAGUGCCCGGAACCUCGAAAGAAAAGAAAAAGAGUGCGACGAGAGGUAAAAAUGGACAAGUGUCCGACAGUAGAAUUAGGGGUACAGGAUACCCAUCUGAGAGAAAAGAAAAAGAAGAGCAUCUCAUUCUCCUCAUAAAUUUUCAAAAAGCAAGGAAGGUAUGUAUCCCCUCAAAAGAGCAAAAGUAGAAUUAGACUUUCACCAUUGUUAUCACCAUCAUCACCAUACACUAUUCAUUCGCCACACAUGCACAUCUUGAUUUGGCUUAUUGAUUUAUUUCUUUGGAUCCAUGGUUUGACUAUACAAUAAAUGUCUUGUAAGUAUGUAUAUUUUAUCUCCCACCUAUGAGCUCCAGAUAUUAAAGCCUUAUUAGAGUAGGGUGAGAGAGAAGACAAUGUCACUAUCCCUUAUACCACAAAUACCACAUAUUUUGAGAGAAGGCAUAUACCAUCACUGCCUUGGUAAGGAUCCAGAAAUACCACAAAAGAGAGAUAUGAGAGAGUCAUACAAAGGAAUCUCUGAGUUUUAUUUGAAAAUCUGCAAAAACUCCAGAGCUAUAGCUGAUCAAGAAUAAGCGACAUGGCACUUGACUGGAUCCUUUCUAUCUUUUAACCACUUAAGACAGAAGUGACGGUUACAAGUCCCAUGGUGAAAGGUAAAGUAAGUAAGUUUUAAGUCUUGAUAGUUUACUCUAACUCAGAGAUGAGACCUCAUUUAAAAGCAUGUGUACCGUCAAUUUUUAAAGAUAUUACAACAACUUAUGAUCCAUAGCUGAGUCUAUCCUUGCUCAGGGACGAGCAAGAGGUAAGCUUGGGGGAGUUUGUUGACGGUCCUUAAGUAUCAAAUUUAAUUAUCAAAUAAAUAAAGAAAAGGAUCCAAAUGAAAUCAACAUCCAGACUUAGGGAUUUAUGUGACAGAAUUCCACGAGUUUUGGUGUUUGUCUAUUUCUGCAGGGGGUUAUCAGGAAAUAAGGAAGAAAGGCCCACACGUCGGGAUUACGUAAAGAUAUUAACGUGCCGUGCAAUUAUCUUACAUCUAGAAGACUCCAGAAGCCACGAGACCGAAGCGGAGGCGAAUCGGGGCUAGAGACAGGGCGCCCGCCCUGUCCUACUGGGUGCCCGCCCACCUCCUGUGGCCAAUCACGCUCAAUCUCGCGGAUUAUGCUCCACCGACCUAAAGGAUCAAGAAUAACCGUUCAAUCAAUGUCUGUUUGAUCCGACGGCCCAGGUUCACUUGAGGGGACUAUAAAACCAGACCCCCUGGCCCCUGGAGGAGACACCCCUUGAUCAUUAUUCAUUAUUCAUAGACAGAGCAAAAGCUAGGGUUUAGAGAUGAGAGCUCUCCUCUCUUCUCUAAACUAGAGUAGAUCUAGAUAGUAGCG